ACAGAAUUCAGGUUGUUAAACUCGCUUGUUAAAUCUUUUAUGAGGAAUUUCAGCCACGUGGGAGAAACUUUCAGGAAACCUUGGAGUUGGUUCUCCAGUGAAAGACCAAAAAGGCAGGCUCCAUAUUCUUCAGAAAGGGGGAGCGGCUUUCCUUAAAAUUUUAAAGCUGGGGGCCAGACGUGGUGGCUCACGCCUGUAAUCCUAGCACUUUGGGAGGCUGAGGCGGGAAGCUCGCUUGAGGUCAGGAGUUCGAGACCAGCCUGGCCAACACGGUGAAACCCUCGUCUCUACUAAAAAUACAAAACAUUAGCUGGGCAUGGUGGCACAUGCCUGUAAUCCCAGCUACUUGGGAGGCUGAGGCAGGAGAAUUGCUUGAACCCAGGAGGCAGAGGUUGCAGUGAGCCAAGAUCGCCCCAUUGCACUCCAGCCUGGGGGACAAGAGUGAAACUCCGUCUCCAAAACACACAAAAAGUUUUGAAGCUGUGAUUAAACAUAUUUAUCUAGGUAGGUCUGAGCAAAAUUAAUGUGAGAAUGCACAAAAAAGAGGUCUAGAAAUUCACCAACUUCACAGGCGUUACCUUUGGGAUGGCAGGGUGAGUGGGGAAGGGGCAGGGAUUCUUUUUAGUUGAAAUAUUUCUGAUUUACUUUAAAGAAAAAACAAUUAUGGGCCAGGUGCGGUGGCUCAUGCCUGUAAUUCCAGUACUUUGGGAGGCCGAGACAGGUGCAUCACCUGAGGUCAGGAGUUGGAGACCAGCCUGGCCAACAGGUGAAACCCUGUCUCUACUAAAAAAAUACAAAAUUACCCCGGCAUUGUGGUGUGCGCCUGUAAUCCCAGCUACUCGGGAAGCUGAGGCAGCAGAAUCACUUGAACCCGGGAGGCGGAGGUUGCAGUGAGUUGAGAUCACACCACUGCACUCCAGCCUGGGCAAAAAGAGUGAAAGUCUGUCUAAAAAACCAAAAAACCCCAAUUAUGAAUGCAUUACUUGUAUAAAAUUUUGAAAAAUGAGUGAUACAUUUCUUCACAGGUUGUUUUUAGAGGACUUAGAGCUCCAUGCAACCAGGCCCUGCUUGCAGAAACAAACAUGAGGGCUUAUGAAGCCUCAUCUCACGCCAGAUCCCCAGACUAUGAGCUGAAGAGUUG
rnacentral:lncRNA from 1 species